rnacentral:rRNA from 1 species
UACGAAGGGUGCAAACGUUGCUCGGAAUCAUUGGGCGUAAAGCGCGUGUAGGCGGCUUUGCAAGUCGGGUGUGAAAGCCCUCAGCUCAACUGAGGAAGUGCGCCCGAAACUGCAGAGCUUGAGUGCCGGAGAGGGUGGCGGAAUUCCCCAAGUAGAGGUGAAAUUCGUAGAUAUGGGGGAGGAACACCGGUGGCGAAGGCGGCCACCUGGACGGUAACUGACGCUGAGACGCGAAAGCGUGGGGAGCAAACAGG